rnacentral:rRNA from 1 species
UACGUAGGGUGCAAGCGUUGUCCGGAAUUAUUGGGCGUAAAGAGCUCGUAGGCGGUCUGUCGCGUCUGCUGUGAAAACUCAGGGCUUAACCCUGAGCUUGCAGUGGGUACGGGCAGACUAGAGUGUGGUAGGGGAGACUGGAAUUCCUGGUGUAGCGGUGAAAUGCGCAGAUAUCAGGAGGAACACCGAUGGCGAAGGCAGGUCUCUGGGGCCACUACUGACGCUG